AGAGUUUGAUCCUGGCUCAGAAUCAACGCUGGCGGCGUGCCUAACACAUGCAAGUCGAACGCGAAAGGGGAGCAAUCCCUGAGUAGAGUGGCAAACGGGUGAGUAACACGUGGGUGACCUGCCUUCGAGUGGGGGAUAACGUCCCGAAAGGGACGCUAAUACCGCAUGACAUCCUGUCCUUGGAUGGACGGAGAUCAAAGCUGGGGAUCGCAAGACCUGGCGCUUGAAGAGGGGCCCGCGCCUGAUUAGCUAGUUGGUGGGGUAAUGGCCUACCAAGGCUACGAUCAGUAUCCGGCCUGAGAGGGCGGACGGACACACUGGGACUGAGACACGGCCCAGACUCCUACGGGAGGCAGCAGUGGGGAAUUGUUCGCAAUGGGCGCAAGCCUGACGACGCAACGCCGCGUGGAGGACGAAGAUCUUCGGGUCGUAAACUCCUGUCGAGUGGGAAGAAUGGAUCGGGGAUGAAUAUUCCCCGGUAUUGACGGUACCACUAAAGGAAGCCCCGGCUAACUCCGUGCCAGCAGCCGCGGUAAUACGGGGGGGGCAAGCGUUGUCCGGAUUUAUUGGGCGUAAAGCGCGCGCAGGUGGGACGGUAUGUGCCCGGUGACAUUCUCAGGCUCACCCUGGGAGGGUCCGGGUAGACAGCGGUUCUAGAGGGAUGGAGAGGGACGUGGAAUACCCGGUGGAGCGGUGAAAUGCGUAGAGAUCGGGCGGAACACCAGCGGCGAAGGCGGCAUCCUGGUCCUGUACUGACGCUGAGGCGCGAGAGCGUGGGGAGCGAACUGGAUUAGAUACCCCAGUAGUCC
rnacentral:rRNA from 1 species